rnacentral:rRNA from 1 species
AGGACGAACGCUGGCGGCGUGCUUAACACAUGCAAGUCGAGCGGAAAGGCCCUUCGGGGUACUCGAGCGGCGAACGGGUGAGUAACACGUGAGUAAUCUGCCCAUCGCUUCAGGAUAGCCAUCGGAAACGGUGAUUAAUACUGGAUAUGACAUUCCUUCGCAUGUUGGGGUGUGGAAAGUUUUUUCGGCGGUGGAUGUGCUCGCGGCCUAUCAGCUUGUUGGUGGGGUAAUGGCCUACCAAGGCUUUGACGGGUAGCCGGCCUGAGAGGGUGACCGGCC